rnacentral:sRNA from 2 species
CAGAAAUCAGAACACAGGAGCAUUUGUCUGUGCUCAGUACAGUUAAACACUGCUUGGAAGAAUAAGGUGCCAAAGAAGAGUUGCAAACUGUGAAGUAACU